UCCUGUGGAAGCAAGGAGAUGAAAAGAAGCCUUUUUUUUCUUUUCCCUUUUUUUUCUCCUCUCUCCUCUAGAAUGGAAAUACUGUUAAAACAUUGAGCGGAUUCAGUGCUUUAAGAAAAGUAUCAACUAUUGCAUCCUGCUGUACGGUUGCGAGUACAGUGCACAUUCUGCAGUGUUGUGAAGUGUUUCUGAAGUCCUGACUUUUCAAUGUUGGUAUGAUGAGUUGCUGAAAGUUUGAAUGUCGGAGUCGAAGCAGGAACGGUAGCUGUCCUACACCAGAUCCUGAAGAUUAACAUUUAUCAUGUUGAGAUUUGGGCAGCACCUCAUCAAGCCCUCGGUGGUAUUCCUGAGGACGGAGCUCUCCUUUGCCCUUGUGAACCGGAAGCCAGUGGUCCCAGGGCGUAUCCUUUCAACCAGAGCCUCAGUCAGGAGUGCGUAUGGGCCGCUCAGCGUUCUGUGGAAAAGAGGGAGGCACUCUUUGCGUUCUGAAGGCCAGAUGACUCUGUGUGAAGGAAAACUAUGCAAUAUUAUAAAGUACUAUUCUUUGAAUAGAGAGAAUUUGAAGAUGACAACUGUUUGGUAUCAUCC
rnacentral:lncRNA from 1 species